rnacentral:rRNA from 1 species
UACGUAGGGGUGCAAGCGUUAAUCGGAAUUACUGGGCGUAAAGCGUGCGCAGGCGGUUCGUUGUGUCGGCGGUGAAAGCCCCGGGCUUAACCUGGGAAUGGCCGUUGAAACUGGCGAACUGGAGUGUGGCAGAGGGGGGUGGAAUUCCGUGGUGUAGCAGUGAAAUGCGUAGAGAUGCGGAGGAACACCGAUGGCGAAGGCAGCCCCCUGGGUACUGACAGAUGACGCUCAGGCACGAAAGCGUGGGGAGCAAACAGGAUUAGA